CACCGCGGUUAUACGAGAGGCUCAAAUUGAAAUUCUACGGCGUAAAGCGUGAUUAAAGAAAAUAUUAAACUAAGGCCAAAUACCUUCCAAGCUGUCAUACGCUAACAAAGGCACGAAGCCCUACAACGAAAGUAGCCUUAAAAAUACUUGAACUCACGACUAUUAAGAAA
rnacentral:rRNA from 1 species